UACGUAGGGGGCAAGCGUUGUCCGGAAUCAUUGGGCGUAAAGCGCGCGUAGGCGGCCCGGUAAGUCCGCUCUGAAAGUCCAGGGCUCAACCCUGGAAAGCGGGUGGAUACUGCCGGGCUAGAGUCCGGAAGAGGCGAGUGGAAUUCCUGGUGUAGCGGUGGAAUGCGCAGAUAUCGAGAGGAACACCAGUGGCGAAGGCGAGUCCCUGGACAACACCUGACACUGAGGCACGAAAGCUAGGGGAGCAAACAGG
rnacentral:rRNA from 1 species